UCCCCACUACCCUUUCACCUACGGCCUCUGAGCCGGCUGGUUCUUUCUGCAGAGCUCCGGACAUUUUCGGAAUGGCCGAUGGUGGGCUUCAGGUAGAUGAGACCCCAGGUUGACAUAAAAAACAGUAUUUACCCUCCUGAAGAGAUGAGAUGGAAUAAUAGCAGGUGGGCAGUGUGGAUAUGGAGUUUUCAGACAACUUCAUGUGAAUGAGAAACCUGCCUCCAUCAGGACUUCAGAUGUCUGACACCCCUGUGACACAUUGAGUAAUGUGAGAACUCAGUGGUCCUGUGAUGCUGUGAUUACUCAAGGGCAAGAUUACAUCAGCUAAAGCCAUCCUGGUGGUUCCUUGAGAAAUGGGUAGUAAUUUAUCCUGAGGGA